UUAUAUUUGCAAGUUCACCUCAUAUCCGUCCCAUCUUUGCAAAAAGUGGAAAAAUAAAAUUGAAAGGCAAAAACUGCGCGACACAAUUUAUGAUGCAGAAUCGGUUCGGUCUGGCCCCCCUCAAACCCUCCUUACGUGCAAAAGCAGAAGCAGAAGCGACUCAGAGGAAUUGAAGAAUCGGGAGACCACCUUAUCUCAUACACACACACACGCUCAUAGCAGCAGCAGCAGCAGCAGAAGCUGAGUGCAUGUGAAUUUUGCAAGGGCUCGAACGCGACUUGGAAAUGGCGUCCAUCUUCCCUUCGUCUCCAUCUAUCGAUAGGCCCUCUAAAUUGUUUUGUGGGAAUCCUCCUCCACCUACUCCCAUUUCUCUUGGGCAAUUCAGGCUGGGUUGGCCACAGCAUGGUAAAGGAUAUAAAAACUUCAGAAUUGAACAAAUGAGUGUGGUUCAGAAUGGUAGGCAUCCUCUUUUGUGUGUAAUGGGAAUGGCGGCAAGGCACUCGGGCGAUCCUGAAAGAAUGAGUUUUCAUCAUCUAUUAGAUAAGGGGAAGGAGUUGUGGGACAGUUCACCAGAACCAGUCAAGAGCUUCCCGUGGAUCCGAGCUUUGGAGAAUUUCAUUCAACUCAUUCUUGAUCUUGUCUUGGCAGUAUUCAAGUUCUUGUGUGUACCGUUAUUUGCUGUAUCUUCUCUAAGCGAGAUGUCCUAUUGUGCUCAUGAAAAGAAGCUUGCAACUUGUGCCUUUGCCACUUCUCGUUGGUGUUGCUUUUGCUGGGGUGUUAAAUGAGACAGCACUGGAAUUAUCUCCACUGCUUAAGGAUGCAGAAGUGCCAUGGCAUCUGAUUGCCAUUGCUGUUUUUUUUACAAUGCUGAAAUUGCCUGGACCUUAUUACCCUUACUGGGGUCGCAUACUUAUUCCUCACUUUGCAAAUGGAGGGCUAUUGAGGAUUUUGUGGUAUGCUUUUUUAUGGAAUAGAAGGCCCCGGAAGGGAUCGGUCUAAAUUUUCUGAAUGGUGGUCCUGCUGCUUUCAGAGGUUAUGACUGCUAUGAGGAAAUUGACUAUUGAUGUCAUCAUAGUAAGCGUCGGCAUGUCAGUGUCAGCUGCCGGAUGGAAGCUGAAUGGAGGCGGAGGAGCAUGGCAUGCCGCAUAUCGGCUAAAUCAACCGAUUUUGCCGUUAUGUGGGUUUAGUCCCCCAUUCUUUUGGUUGAAUAGUUCUCUUCUGACGGGGGAUCAUACAGAAAUUGUAGUCUCUAGCUAUGCUUCCCCAGGAACCGUAGAGUUCGGAUUUUGUUGCUCUUCUAUGUUUCUUCCUCCAUGAUUUUUUUUUCCUAAAGCACAGUUCUUUUUUCCCCCAAUCUUACUGUCUAAAGAUUGAAGUUCCUAACCAUACAUAUAUGUCUUAAACUAAUUGCCGAUCGCCAUCGAUUUCAUAUAUUGCGCGCUGUGCUUUUACAAUGCAAUAACAAUUCAUUUGUUAA